CUCGCUAAAGCUACUUAUCCCAGGAAAGCUCGCACGGGGCCCAGGAGCGAACCCACAGACAAAAAGUGAAACUUCGGCAGGGCUGGAGCGGCUGCUGGUUGGUGCCUUUCCCCCUCCUUCCUCCCCACCGUCCCCACCCCCUCCCCUCGGUCUCCCGUGCGGUGCCCUGAGAGCUGGAGGCUGACGUCAGGGGCCUGAAUUCCUGACUUUGCCUGCACGCAUUUGUCCAUGUAAGGAAGAGGAAGAUGCAGAAGGUAAAAGGCCUGGGCAUUUAAAUAAAAUCAGAUAACUUCCUCAAGAGAUGAAGACUGGAUGUAAGCAGACCAAUGGGAAGGAAGAGGAAGAAUCAACAGAGCCUGGCCACUUGGAAACAGAAGCAGGAUGGGCAUGGGGAGGCAAAGGAGAGGAAGCAGCCAUUGGCAACACCUGGAACUUAACGAUCCAAUGUUAUCCAGUGAGGGAGUGAAUGCAAGAAUCCUUCAUCUUGGCUAGAGAAGUAACACAGUUGUUAUCGUCUCUCUGGAAGACUGGUCAUGUUAUCUUAGACCAUGACUCUGGGCAGAUCGCAGGAACAGCUUAUCUGAAUGCAGUCUGGCCCAUCCCAACUCACCCUUGCACAAGUCUGCUGGCUUUUGACCUCAGGUAAGCCCAGAACAUAGGAGAGCUGUGACCACACCUGGAAGCCAGUGAAACUUCAAAAGUCAGUCAGUCUAGUCUGACAGGGGGCCAGUCUGUGGUAGUAGAAAUGUUGAUGGAUGGAGCUUUAAUCCCUCUUGGGUCCACUACCAAUGAAAAGUUUCACAGAGACUCAAACACAAAGGGAGACAAGUUAUGCCACCUUUUUAUUUUAACAAGUAUAUAAUAUGCACUUGCUAACUGAACUAGACCUAGGAAUAGUGUUGAGAAAAUAGACACAAUGCCAGUUCUACAUGUUAAAACAAAGAUAAAACAGGAUAGCAACUCCAAGGGAAGGAGUAGGUGAGAUAGCUCGGCUGAGAUCUCCCAGUGGACCCCUGGAUGGACUGGACCUGCUACGUCAGCCAGGAGCCUCUUUUGAUAGUGUUGGAGCAGGCUAGGAUGAGCCCGGAGACACCCCCCAGGGCCUGUUGAAGGAACACAAACAUGGAGCACACAUCUUUGUCCUCACAAAACAGCAAGAGGUAGAAACUAAUGUCCAGAGGUUUGAUGUCUGCAGCCUCGGUCUUGGUGGCCUCUCUGCUUCCUUUAGGAAGCUGUGUAGAGCGGUGUGACUUCUGAAGAGGGUCUGCUCGUUCUUGAUGAUGUGCGUAUCUGGGGGUAUGCUUUAGGAUGCAGUUUGCCUCAUUCGUGGCUGUGAUACACGGCCUCACCCACUCUUAGGGAAUCACAGCAGAUAUCAGGGCAGGAGAGAGAAUCUCUGCCCAACAGUAGGGAUUUGAUUAGAUUUAUAUUUCCAGCUACAGUUUUAGGUGAAUGAAAAGAGGUCCAUGAUAUAUAUUUUGACAGCUUAAUUGCGGUAUAAUUUAUAUACCAUAAAAUUCAUUCAUUUUAAGCAUACGAUGAUUUUACAUAACUUUAUGGAAUUGUAUAACCAUCACUGCACUCUAAUAGUAGAACAGUUUCAUCAGCCCCCAAAGAAACCUUGCACCCAUUUACAGUCAUUCCCCACUCUGCCUGCAGCCUCAGACAACCACUAAUCUACUUUCUGUCUCUAUAGAUUUGCAUAUUCUGGACAUUUCAUGUAAAUGGAAUCAUAAAUUGUGUGGC